rnacentral:rRNA from 1 species
UACGGUAGGGUCCGAGCGUUGAUCCGGAAUUAUUGGGCGUAAAGGGCUCGUAGGCGGUUCGUCACGUCGGGAGAGAAAACUCGGACUUAACUCCGAGCCUGCUUCCGAUGACGGGCAGACUAGAGGGUAUGCAGGGGGAGAACGGAAUUCCGUGGUGUAGGCGGUAGAAAUGCGCAGAUAUCAGGAGGAACACCGGUGGCGAAGGCGGUUCUCUGGGCAUUACCUGACGCUGAGGAGCGAAAGUGUGGGGAGCGAACAGG